AAGUAGAGAACAGGUCUUGGCAGUUAAAAGGAAUGCAUUAACAAUACAUCGUAGACAUGAGACAGGGAACAGAUUGGUCACCACUACAGUUGCUCAUAUCACGUCAUACCACAUUACCUUAUAUAAGUGCCCACAGUCAAGAUUAAGUCAUCUAAGGGUGCACCACGGAUUCUAAGACAAACUACUCCUGAACUUCUGAAUAUUGCACUAUAGAUACUGGAUACAUAUAACUUGGUGUAGCUCUCGUCAAAUAAAUUAUCAAAUCAACCAAUAAGACAUUUUAGAAUCAACAGAAUUUUUAUUUCACGAUAAUGGAUCAUAAUUCUCAAAGAACACAUAUGAUGAGUUUAUACCAAGCGCUCCUUCUAAUGGUGGUCAUUACAAUGAAUCCUACAACCGCAACCGUUACAGCCGUCAAUGAUGCAUCAACAACAACUGAUGAACCCACUACAACCGUAACUGAUGCAUUGACUACAACUGGUCAACCCACUACAACUGUCAUUGAUGCGUCGAUAGUAACUGGUGAACCCACAACAACCAUCAACGCUGCAUCACCAACUACUGUUAAAGCCACAGCCACUACAACCAUCACCGAGUUAUCAAAAACAACUGGUGAACCAAAUAAAAUGGUCAUUGAUGCAAUGACAAAAACUGGUGAACAGCUACAGCCGUCACUGAUUCAACGACAACAACUGGUGAACCUACUAAAACUACCACUGAGUCAACGACAACAACUGGUGAACCCACUAA